CAUAGGUUAAUGAGGCGAACCGGGGGAACUGAAACAUCUAAGUACCCCGAGGAAAAGAAAUCAACCGAGAUUCCCCCAGUAGCGGCGAGCGAACGGGGAGCAGCCCAGAGCCUGAAUCAGUGUGUGUGUUAGUGGAAGCGUCUGGAAAGGCGCGCGAUACAGGGUGACAGCCCCGUACACAAAAAUACACAUAUUGUGAGCUCGAUGAGUAGGGCGGGACACGUGGUAUCCUGUCUGAAUAUGGGGGGACCAUCCUCCAAGGCUAAAUACUCCUGACUGACCGAUAGUGAACCAGUACCGUGAGGGAAAGGCGAAAAGAACCCCGGCGAGGGGAGUGAAAAAGAACCUGAAACCGUGUACGUACAAGCAGUGGGAGCACGCUUAGGCGUGUGACUGCGUACCUUUUGUAUAAUGGGUCAGCGACUUAUAUUCUGUAGCAAGGUUAACCGAAUAGGGGAGCCGAAGGGAAACCGAGUCUUAACUGGGCGUUAAGUUGCAGGGUAUAGACCCGAAACCCGGUGAUCUAGCCAUGGGCAGGUUGAAGGUUGGGUAACACUAACUGGAGGACCGAACCGACUAAUGUUGAAAAAUUAGCGGAUGACUUGUGGCUGGGGGUGAA
rnacentral:rRNA from 1 species